rnacentral:lncRNA from 1 species
AAAGAAUAAACUCAAAUAAACAAUUAAAAAAUCAUAGGCUUUCAUCUGCCUUCUGACUCCAACAGUUCUUUCUCUGGAAGUGGAUAGCAUGCUUUGUCAUAAGUCUUGAGGGAUCUCUUUAAAAGAUAUCUUAGGGAGGACUGUGGAUAGAGUGCCAGGCUUGGAGAAGAUUAAAUUCCCCAAUUGACAAAUGGUCAAAGAAUGUGAAUAGGCAAUUCUCAGAUGAAGAAAUUAAAACUUGUUUUCUUAGAUCCAGAGAGUAAAACAGAAAUUGAAAGAAUUUACUGACCACCUCCUAAAAGAGACGCCCAAUGAAAACUCCUAGAGAUAUCAUAGCCAAAUUCUAGAUGAAAUAGAGGAUUUUCAAACAUUCUUGAUGAAAAAAUCAGAGAUGAAUGGAAAUUUUAACAUUCAAAUAUAAGACAGAGAAGAAUAAAAAGGACAGCUGCCUGGGAAAGGAGAGAAGGAGGAACACAGGGGAAAUUUUAGGUGAUGUAACAACAAAAGAUACCAAUAAAAUUAACUUAAAAAAAAAGAAAAUGUAAUGGAAGUGUGACUUACCUAAUGGUUAAUCCAAGCAAAAGAUGCACUCAAUUCCAUGGAUUUCAGUCUAGAAAGGACCUUAAUCUUGGCUAAAGGCUGAAGAUGAGUCAAGCUGCUAAAACAGAAGUAGUCAGUGGCAUGGCUUUCUAUGGUUGGGGUAUAGAGGGUAUUCAGGGGAGGCUAGAACUUCUGAUGUGAGAGCUUGCUGAGUUUUUUCAAGGCUGCUUUUCUUCUUUUGGCAUCUACCUGCCAUCCAGUUCUCAUCUGUAGCUCCAAAAAGCUGUAGCAUGCACAGUAGCCAUACUCUGCUAAACCAUCUGAGCAGAUGGGCUAAACCAGGUGGAGGUUGAUCUAGAGGCCUCAAACCCGUCAGUGUCUUGGGAGAAUGUUUACCCCGAGCAUAUGAAGAUUUCUCUUGGCAGAAGAGUAGAUGAGAACAGUUUGUUCCAGUGACCAUGAAAGUGGUAGAAGCAGGCACUGUGUAGCACAUGAAUCAAAAGACACCACCACUGAUGCCACUUUGGUCCUCUUCGAGCAUGAAGGACAAUAACCAACCAAGCUGAAAUUAUGGCACCAUUUCAACCUUUCUUCAGAAUUGUUUUGACUUAAGAAUACAAUUUAAUUAUCAGUUUUAGCAGACUUGUAAAUUGUAAGAGAAAAAGAGCAAAUGCCCAUUUUUUUUAAACCCUUACGUUCCGUCUUGGAAACAAUAAUGUGUGUUGGUUCUAAGGCAGAAGAGUAGUAAGGGCUAGGCAAUGGGGGUCAAGUGACUUGCCCAGGGUCACACAGCUGGGAAGUGUCUGAGGCCAGAUUUGAACCUAGGACCUCCCAUCUCUAGGCCUGGCUCUCAAUCCAUUGAGCUACCCAGCUGCCCCCUUCCCCCCCCCCCCAUUUUGAACUGGACAUUAUGGAGGGAUCAUAGAUUUAGAGGUGGAAGAGAAUUUAGAGGGUAUGAAUAAGUCCAACCUACUUAAUUUGAUAGAUGAGAAAUCCGAGACUCAG